CAGUCGCCGCGGGAAUACGAAGGGUGCAAGCGUUACUCGGAAUUACUGGGCGUAAAGCGUGCGUAGGUGGUGGUUUAAGUCCGUUGUGAAAGCCCUGGGCUCAACCUGGGAAUUGCAGUGGAUACUGGGUCACUAGAGUGUGGUAGAGGAUAGUGGAAUUUCCGGUGUAGCAGUGAAAUGCGUAGAGAUCGGAAGGAACAUCUGUGGCGAAGGCGACUAUCUGGGCCAACACUGACACUGAGGCACGAAAGCGUGGGGAGCAAACAGGAUUAGAUACCCGGGUAGUCCCUGUCUCUUAUAA
rnacentral:rRNA from 1 species